AGAUUGAACGCUGGCGGCAGGCCUAACACAUGCAAGUCGAGCGGUAGAGAGGUGCUUGCAUCUCUUGAGAGCGGCGGACGGGUGAGUAAUGCCUAGGAAUCUGCCUAGUGGUGGGGGAUAACGUUCGGAAACGGACGCUAAUACCGCAUACGUCCUACGGGAGAAAGCGGGGGACCUUCGGGCCUCGCGCCAUUAGAUGAGCCUAGGUCGGAUUAGCUAGUUGGUGAGGUAAUGGCUCGCCAAGGCGACGAUCCGUAACUGGUCUGAGAGGAUGAUCAGUCACACUGGAACUGAGACACGGUCCAGACUCCGUACGGGAGCAGCGAGUAGGGAAUAGUUGGAACAAGUAGGGGACGAAAGGCCGUAGAACUCCAACGCC
rnacentral:rRNA from 1 species